rnacentral:rRNA from 1 species
UACGUAGGCAGCGAGCGUUGUUCGGAAUUACUGGGCGUAAAGAGUGUGUAGGCGGUGCUCCCAGUCUGUUGUGAAAUCUCCCGGCUUAACUGGGAGGGUGCGCUAUAGACUGUGGGACUAGAGUGUGGGAGAGGAAAGUGGAAUUCCUGGUGUAGCGGUGAAAUGCGUAGAUAUCAGGAGGAACACCGGUGGUGUAAACGGCUUUCUGGACCAUAACUGACGCUGAGGCACGAAAGCGUGGGUAGCAAACAGG